rnacentral:rRNA from 1 species
UACAGAGGUGGCAAGCGUUGUUCGGAUUUAUUGGGCGUAAAGGGUCCGUAGGCGGUUUGGAAAGUCGGAUGUGAAAUCCUACAGCUUAACUGUGGAACUGCAUUCGAAACUCCCAGACUAGAGUGUGAGAGGGGUAAAGAGAAUUCCUGGUGUAAGGGUGAAAUCUGCAGAGAUCAGGAAGAAUACCAGUCGCGAAGGCGCUUUACUGGCUCACAACUGACGCUGAGGGACGAAAGCUAGGGGAGCAAACGGG